rnacentral:tmRNA from 1 species
GGGGUAGCACUGGUUUCGAUUGCCGGUGCGCGGAAAGGUAAGCACGCAGAGGAACGAGUGGCCUCUAUAAAACAUUCGGCUUAAAUUUAAAUGCAGAUAACAAUGCAAACUACAACGCUCCUGUAGCGUUGGCUGCUUAAUCAACAGUUAAGCGGUUCGUCCGCACCUCUUUCCCGUCGGGAGGAUGCGGGCGUCAUUCAGGCGGGGAACUGCCGUUUUGAUGUGAAGUCGGCAAAACGGCGGACUUUCAGAUUUCUGCCGGUAUGCUCUUUCGGCCGCAGAGGGGCAUGCCGUAAGAUAAUUGCGGCAUAAGCGUGUAGAAAGCCUUUUGGCAAUCCGGUAAGACGCGAGUUCAAAUCUCGCCUACUCCACCA